rnacentral:lncRNA from 1 species
UACACCUCUUGUAUAUAAAUAUCACAGUAAUAGGAAUAUGUUUCAUUAAAGUCUGUCUGAUGAGUGCGUAAGCACGAAACUCGGAGUUACAGUGAACAUGUCUCGUCUUUAAUCCAAUCUUUACUAUAUAUAUAUAUAUAUAUACAUAUACAUAUACAUACAUACCGUAAGAGAAUGAAGAGACUGAGAGAGAUUGAUGACAUCCUUUGAUACGAUCAUUACACAUAAUGUUUUCCUGUUGAAACACGUCAAUUCCUCUUUAAAAAGACUUUAACUACUGCUUACAGCUAACCACGACUCCGAAUCAGUUGGCGAGUGUAGUUUUUUACAUAUUCUAGACUCAAACUGCGGUUUUUGAAAACCUGAUGAUGUAUCACUUUUGUUUUAGACAAAACAAAGUGAAUAGUAACUAUAGAAAUCUUAAAGGUCUCUUAAAAACACUAUUCAAUAAGGAACCACAAUUUCCUCGUUUGCUUACAAAAUUUACAUAUGUAAAGUUUAUUGUAUAGAGAUAAGUUUUUUAAAUGAAAUUUAAGGAUUGAUUUAGAAAUGCUUGAAGUACAAAUGAGGAAGCUGCGGCUUGUAUCAUGACUUUGCAGUUCAGUUCUCGAGGGAAAAUCAAAGAUAAAAAUGAGAAUCAAAAAUAACUAAUUUCCCACACGCCGAAAUUUCCCAGAAUUGUAAUAAAGUGUAUAUAAGACUGGCUGGAAUUAUUCUUGGAAACCACUUGAAGAACGGUGCCAAAGAGAAGCCGAAUAUACCAAGAUCUAUUGAUUUGUCACGCCAAAUUGAUCCAUUCAUCGAUUAUAAACUCAAACUUGUGAUAUAUUAUGACAAAUCUAGCAAUUCUACUACUACUUCUAUUUCUAUCGCAUGUCGUUGUUAUUGAAGCGGCACCGUGUAUUUGCCCAGCCUCAUCCUGUGAAAGACGCGUUGUCAGAAACGGAGUGGUGGAGAUCACGUGCACUGGUAGCUCUUACCACUGUUUGAGAAGAAGAAAGCGGUGCCGGCCUAUUUAUCACGUGUGUAAUGGCACCAAAGUAGUAACAGGAUGUGGAUGUGGAUAAAGACUAGACUCAUAACCAGUCCAUCGACAUUGUUCACGGUUGAUUCUUCAGUAGGUGGCCUAGACAGAAAAUUAUUUGAGACAUUUGUGAUAAUAAUAAUAUAAUAUUAUGAUGAUAAUAAUAGUAAUGAUAUCUAAAAUUCUCUCUAAAUUAGAGCAACAUAAUUAUCAAAUAUGAUAUAAGUUACUGUAUGUUAAAUUUUACACAACUAUAGGCCGGCUAUCAAGUGAUGUUUCCAGUGACAUGAGGUUUAAAGAGUACAAUUUUUUUAGCACUUUAGAAAUAGAUUUUGUAGCUUAUAUAUUUCCGCAUGCUGUAUGCAAAUUAGUCGAAACGUCUUUGUGCUUAUAUUAGUAGCAAUUCCGAGGUUAACGGGAAAGACUGGGUCGAGUUGGUAUAGCAGUGCAUUGUGGGACUGUUUUAAGGGGACAUUUUUCCAACAUGGCGUCUAUUUCGUUCCCUAAAACAUUCCCACAAUGCAUUGCAAUACCAACUCGAUCCAGUUUCCCCUCAACCUCCGAAUUGUAAAAUUAUACAAAUUUGUCUUUGAAAAAAUAGACUCAACGCUUUUAGUUAUACAUUAUAUUGGUCUUACAAAAGUGUACUUGGAGAAAACAAGAAGUUGUAUAUUUAUAGAAUUCUAUUUAUAAAAACAACUGGAAUAAAAUUCUGUGCAAUAAAUUGCA